GUGGGGAAUAUUGGGCAAUGGGCGCAAGCCUGACCCAGCAACGCCGCGUGAAGGAAGAAGGCUUUCGGGUUGUAAACUUCUUUUACCAGGGACGAAACAAAUGACGGUACCUGGUGAAUAAGCCACGGCUAACUACGUGCCAGCAGCCGCGGUAAUACGUAGGUGGCGAGCGUUAUCCGGAUUUAUUGGGUGUAAAGGGCGUGUAGGCGGGACAGCAAGUCAGAUGUGAAAACCAGAGGCUCAACCUCUGGCCUGCAUUUGAAACUGUUGUUCUUGAGUGUCGGAGAGGUAAUCGGAAUUCCGUGUGUAGCGGUGAAAUGCGUAGAUAUACGGAGGAACACCAGUGGCGAAGGCGGAUUACUGGACGACAACUGACGCUGAGGCGCGAAAGCCAGGGGAGCAAACGGGAUUAGAUACCCCAGUAGUCC
rnacentral:rRNA from 1 species